GAUGAAGAACGUAGCGAAAUGCGAUAAGUAAUGUGAAUUGCAGAAUUCAGUGAAUCAUCGAAUUUUUGAACGCACAUUGCGCCCGCCAGUAUUCUGGCGGGCAUGCCUGUUCGAGCGUCAUUUCAACCAUCAAGCCCCAGGCUUGUGUUGGGGACCUGCGGCUGCCGCAGGCCCUGAAAACCAGUGGCGGGCUCGCUGUCACACCGGGCGUAGUAGAUUUUAUCUCGCUCAGGGCGUGCUGCGGGUCCCGGCCGUUAAAAGCCUUUUUUUACCCAAGGUUGACCUCGGAUCAGGUAGGAAGACCCGCUGAACUUAAGCAUAUCAAUAAGCGGAGGA
rnacentral:misc_RNA from 1 species